UUCAAGGAAAUUCAUGAUGAGGAGAGCAUAAGGAAGAGGCCUAUCAUCUCCGAUAGCGUCACGCAUGUGAAUUUUGACGAACUGACACCAAUUGAUGUUAGCUCCGGUUAUUAUGGCAUGCAUGAGCUUGGUGUCCUCUUGGGAAAUGGUAGUAUGGUUAUGCAUACGAGGCUUGAGGACUCGGGUGAUGAAAUAGAAAAUCAACCGAUAAUUUGGAUCCAUUCCCGUAAUUGUAGGACGACGGGAAGAAAGAUUUG
rnacentral:lncRNA from 1 species